rnacentral:rRNA from 1 species
CGGGGUGAGUAAUGUCUGGGAAACUGCCUGAUGGAGGGGGAUAACUGCUGGAAACGGUAGCUAAUACCGCAUAACGUCGCAAGACCAAAGAGGGGGACCUUCGGGCCUCUUGCCAUCGGAUGUGCCCAGAUGGGAUUAGCUAGUAGGUGGGGUAACGGCUCACCUAGGCGACGAUCCCUAGCUGGUCUGAGAGGAUGACCAGCCACACUGGGACUGAGACACGGUCCAG